rnacentral:lncRNA from 1 species
CCACAGUGUCUCAGCCUAGGGCGCCCCUCACCACCGACUGCUGUGUACCCAUUCUCGGCAGGUUGUUUCAUCAGGUCUCUCGCCCUAGCCCAUCCCGACUUCCUCCGCAGCCCUUCUGAACAUGAGAGAAACUGCAGGAACGAAAAACCAAGACCCCAAAUUGGAAAACAAACUUGCAGGGAAGGAGGAUGCUCUGGCCUUGAGGUUCGAACUCCCGCCCCGGGGAGGCAAGAGCCAGGCACCCCUUUCUCCUAAUGUUUGGUUUUCGGGGUUCCGCGACCCCUUGCAAUGACUUAAGUGCUCUGUGUAUUGUGUUCCUACAUUAUUUGGGAGAAAAGAGGUUAAUCCAUGUCUUCCAGCUGAUUCUGAAAGAAAUCUCAUACUCCAAAAGAGGGCCUUGUGGGAACAGAGGAGGGGGUCCUUCCUUCUCGAGGGCGGCUCCGCAGGACCCUGGGGGCUGGAGGGUCGCACCUGGUCUUUUUCACGGCCCUCGCGUCUUUUUCUGAAACCUCCAAUUGAAGUGGAAGACGACGCCUGGGGAAUUAAGAAGAUGACUGGGAAAGAAGAUAGCAAGGAUUUUCUAUGGAAUGGGCCCAGCCAGUAUGACCCAAGCGUGGAGACUUGGAUGUCCACCCCACAGGCCAAAAGCUCUUAAGACCAAAACGGUCUUUCAGGGCGCGGUUGCACGGUAGCACCCCCAUUUCCCAAACCGCAGAUUAAAACUGCGCGGGGUCCAGAGUUGGAGCGUGGAAGGGCCCGCAGGAGUGGAAGUGCGUACACCUGAUGCGGGACGGGAACUGCCGGGCGCGCACGGCUGCAGCCCCCACCCGCAGGCUGUUUCAGCCGGCAGCGUAUUUCUCAAUUGCCUGCGCCUGGUUUUUUGAAAUGUGCCGAAGCCGUGGCGGGAACCGGUAGGGUUAACUUUGUUCUAGUCGUGGGCCCUGCUCCCCAAAUUCCCAAUGCUAACUGGGUCUUAGGUCCAGGGCUGUGGCGCGUUGGGGUGGCGAAGCAGUUUAAGUUUGUCCGGGCCGGAGUUCAAAGCUAAGGCCCCACGGUGGGUGGGGGGAUAGCGGGGGUCUCCUCUAGGUCCCCCUCCCUUCGAAUCGCAUGGCUCCCAGGGGCCGGUAGGCGGCGCCCUUCCUAAACUGCAUCCGCGUCUGGCUCUGUCAUGGGAGCGCAAUUACAUUCCUUUCACUUUGGGCGGUUUGCAUUGCGCUGUUCCGCGCUUCCGUCCGAGUUGGCAGCUAGCUGUGGGGGACAGGUGGACUAGGAGGCACGGUCGGUGCCAAAACCGCACGUGCGACCUUCCCUCCCCCACAAUCUUCUAGGUCCCAAGGGCUGCGCAUGGCACCAGGAAUAAGCAGCCCGGAGGGGUUUGCAAAUCAGGAGGCCUUGCUGCAGACCCCGCACCCGGGCUGGGGGAACGGCAUUUCGGGCCUUGGUACCCGGAGUGUAGGAGCUGGGAGGAGAAAGACGUCUCUCCUGACUCCCAAAUCCCAUGAACUGAUUCGGCCCCGCACAGAGCAGGUUUCCGGUUUUGCACUGCCUCAGGGGACUGCUUACAGAGACCCCACGCAGUGAUCCCGUGACCCCUGUUGCUAGACAUCCAGAGGCUUCUGGUCCCUAAGUGCCAAGGUAGGCGUUUCUUGGGGCCCAGAAACGGCCUAGCCAGGGGCAGGUGGCAAACGCCAGCACAGUCUCAGCACCUCGGGACCUUAGGCGCUGCCUCGCGCAACUUCUGCGCCCCAAUCCAUGCCUGAGAAGAAACCCUGAGCCCCGAACACGCCGGAAGUUUCCCCAGCGCGUCUAAGAGGCUUCGCCUGCUGGAGGGCCCGAGACGCAGCAAAGAAGAGGCUCCGGGAGGAACUUGGGAUCGUACGGACACGCAACCACUUCUGGGAUUAAGCGCGGAAGACGUUUCCUAAAUGCCCUGAAUCCCCGUUUGCCUGGUAGGCCACCUCCAAACUCAGAGUCACUAAACACCAGAAAAGCUGGUGGCCACCGAAACCCAGCUCUGUAAAGAAGAAAAACCCAGACGUAAUUGGGUGCUAGUACUGAAGACCAAGUGCGCACAGAAAACCGCAGACCGUGCAGAGGCCCAGGGCGGAAGGGAUGCGGGCAGCGGACAGCGACUCAGGCAGCAGCCGCGGAGUCCCCAGCGGUUUAGCUCCCCAGCCGGAGGCUCUCCGCGCCGUUCCUGGAUGAAGAGAAACGCCUGGCGUUCCCGGGUGCGCGGUUCCCGUUCCCAGGCAGCUCGGCGGGCAUUCGGCUCGCAGCCCCGAGCCUUCGCGGUCUGAUUUGGGAGGCCUGCGCCCUGGCAUUUGCAUAUUCCCGGGAACACUGGGAGGCCUGUAAUUUUCUUUUUAAAAUCGUUGGGCAGGGUUUAGGGCCAAUGCUUCCAAAACCCCGCCGAGUUGAUGUCGUCCUUAAACUCUCCCUUAAGAGAAGGGGACUGGCCUAUUCUUCUGACUUUUUUAGAAAAGGUGACUCCUGGGGCUGCAUAUUCAACAGGGGGGAAAGCUGAUUGUGAACCAGGCUGUGGGGGGAGAGAGG